rnacentral:lncRNA from 1 species
GGAAACUAGUUUUUGCAUUAGACUCUCCAUGGGCUCCAUAGACUCUCCUGUACCUUACGACUAGGCACAGGAGCGUUUCCCCGGUGAAAUGGAGAAGAGGACACUUGGUCUUUUCAACUUUACUAGGAGGGCUCCUUUCUUCCCAGUCCGUAAGGAGGGGUCUGACUUUCAUUUCCACCCCAGCAUUAUCACCUUAACUCUCAUUCCAGUCAAUCCCGAAACUCCGUUGCCCUACCCACUUCACCCUUCUUUUGUUUGUCCUGAUUUGAUUCCUGCGUUCUCACAGAGGGCUACCUGGACUUUGAACCUCCACCCCCCUUUCUACAUUCUUGCAUUCCAGAAACAUAUGAAGCUCAUUUCUGCCACCCUUCCUAGAAAACUGGUUCCUGACAGAGACAUGUGGAAAGGUAAGUAAACCUGGGCCCAAGAUCACAGAGCACACAGCUGGAAUUCACAGCAAGACCUGAUUGACUUCGAAGUCAGUGGUCUUUCCCCUGCUUCCCACGAGACAGGUAAUCCCUCAGCUUACUCUUGAAGAGGCAAUGUGGGCUACUGCAUUUGAAUGUCUGAAUUCAAGCCUUGUAGAAACAACUAGCAGUAACCAAACACCAUUAUUUUUGUUUGUUCAUUUGUUUCCAAAUGACUUGUGACUUUUCUAAUGGAGAAAACACUCAACCCAAAUCUUAAUUCCACCAACAAUGAGUGUGUGCCUUGGACAAUUCACAGCCUGUCUGAGCUAGUUUAUUUUAGAGUAAGCAAGUUGGAGUAGGUGACCUCUGUGUUCUUUGUAAUUUGAGACGUUUUGGUGUUCACACAGGUUACUACAUGAAGAGCUGGGACUGGAAUACAGGUUUUCUAUGUUCACCUGGGGAUAGCUUUUCCAUCAUCCCUCCUGAGUCUGUGAGGUAUCCCAGUUUUUAAGCCAGAACUUUGAAACCAGAAGUAAAUGGUUAAGUUUAUCUGUCUAUGCCUAUGUGUAUUCUAGCCAAAUAAACCAUGACACUUAAAACAAUUUCAAUAUUUCAAAGAUGUAGUAAAUUUCCUUGAACCUUUUUUAUUGUUUUUUAUAAAUUAAAAAUUAUGAAAUAAUUCAAACAUUUUUAAAAUAGGAAAUAACGUGAUAUGCAUGUACCCCAUACCCAGAUUUAAUAGAUGUUUACAUUAUGCAGUAUCUGUUUCUUUUUUUUUUUUUUUUCUUGAGACAGAGUCUUGCUCUGUCACCCAGGCUGGAGUGCAGUGGCAUAAUCUCGGCUCACUGCAACCUCCGCCUCCCGGGUUCAAGCGAUUCUCCUGCCUCAGCCUCCUGAGUAGGUGAGAUUACAGGCGCGCACCACCAAGUCCAGCUAUUUUUUGUGUUUUUAGUAGAGACAGGGUUUCACCAUGUUGGUCAGGCUGGUCUCGAACUCCUGACCUCGUGAUCCACCUACCUUGGCCUCCCAAAGUGCUGGGAUUGCAGGCAUGAGCCACCGCACCUGGCCUUCAAUUUUUUGAUAGAAGUAAGACAUCACAGGUACAAUCAAAGUUUCCUAAUCUUAUAUUUCUUCUCACACUUCCCAGAGGAAAAUGACUAUUCUAAAGUUAGUUACUUCUAUUUCUUAAUUGUAAUACAUUUAUUCAUAUUCUUAAGACAUUUAUGUAAUAUUGUGUUAAGUAUUUUUGAAAUGUAUAUAAAUGGAAUCAUACAAUAAAGACCCUCAGCAGUUUUUUUUCACUGAA